GACAGAGGCCUCAAGCGUUAGGCGGAAUCACUGGGCUUAAAGCGUGUGUAGGCGGAUCGUUAAGUGUCUUGUGAAAUCCCACGGCUCACCCGUGGAACUGCUGGGCAUACUGGCGAUCUUGGGCCAACUAGGGGCAGCCGGAACAAGCGGUGGAGCGGUGAAAUGCGUAGAUAUCGCUUGGAACGCCGAAGGUGAAAACAGGGCUGCUGGGGUUGUGCCGACGCUGAGACACGAAAGCCAGGGGAGCAAACAGG
rnacentral:rRNA from 1 species